rnacentral:rRNA from 1 species
AUUAAAAACCAAUGCCCUUCGGGGCUCUCUGGUGAUUCAUAAUAACUUCUCGAAUCACACGGCCUUGCGCCGGCGAUGGUUCAUUCAAAUUUCUGCCCUAUCAACUUUCGACGGCUGGGUCUUGGCCAGCCGUGGUGACAACGGGUAACGGAGGGUUAGGGCUCGACCCCGGAGAAGGAGCCUGAGAAACGGCUACUACAUCCAAGGAAGGCAGCAGGCGCGCAAAUUACCCAAUCCCGACACGGGGAGGUAGUGACAAUAAAUACUGAUACAGGGCUCUUUCGGGUCUUGUAAUUGGAAUGAGUACAAUUUAAAUCCCUUAACGAGGAACAAUUGGAGGGCAAGUCUGGUGCCAGCAGCCGCGGUAAUUCCAGCUCCAAUAGCGUAUAUUAAAGUUGUUGAGGUUAAAAAGCUCGUAGUUGAACCUUGGGCCUAGCCGGCCGGUCCGCCUCACCGCGUGCACUGGCUCGGCUGGGUCUUUCCUUCUGGAGAACCGCAUGCCCUUCACUGGGUGUGCC